UACAGAGGGUGCGAGCGUUAAUCGGAAUUACUGGGCGUAAAGCGUGCGUAGACGGUAGCGUAAGUCUGAUGUGAAAUCUCCGAGCUUAACUCGGAAAUGGCAUUGGAUACUAUUCGGCUGGAGGUUUGGAGGGGGGACUGGAAUUCUCGGUGUAGCAGUGAAAUGCGUAGAUAUCGAGAGGAACACCAGUGGCGAAGGCGAGUCCCUGGACAACACCUGACACUGAGGCACGAAAGCUAGGGGAGCAAACAGG
rnacentral:rRNA from 1 species